GACGAACGCUGGCGGCGUGCUUAACACAUGCAAGUCGAACGAAAAGAGGGAAAGAGCUUGCUCUUUCCGGAAUUGAGUGGCAAACGGGUGAGUAACACGUAAACAACCUGCCUUCAGGAUGGGGACAACAGACGGAAACGACUGCUAAUACCGAAUAAGUUCCAAGAGCCGCAUGGCCCAUGGAAGAAAAGGUGGCCUCUACCUGUAAGCUAUCGCCUGAAGAGGGGUUUGCGUCUGAUUAGCUGGUUGGAGGGGUAACGGCCCACCAAGGCGACGAUCAGUAGCCGGUCUGAGAGGAUGAACGGCCACACUGGAACUGAGACACGGUCCAGACUCCUACGGGAGGCAGCAGUGGGGAAUCUUCCGCAAUGGGCGAAAGCCUGACGGAGCAACGCCGCGUGAGUGAUGACGGCCUUCGGGUUGUAAAACUCUGUGAUCCGGGACGAAAAGGCAGAGUGCGAAGAACAAACUGCAUUGACGGUACCGGAAAAGCAAGCCACGGCUAACUACGUGCCAGCAGCCGCGGUAAUACGUAGGUGGCAAGCGUUGUCCGGAAUUAUUGGGCGUAAAGCGCGCGCAGGCGGCUUCCCAAGUCCCUCUUAAAAGUGCGGGGCUUAACCCCGUGAUGGGAAGGAAACUGGGAAGCUGGAGUAUCGGAGAGGAAAGUGGAAUUCCUAGUGUAGCGGUGAAAUGCGUAGAGAUUAGGAAGAACACCGGUGGCGAAGGCGACUUUCUGGACGAAAACUGACGCUGAGGCGCGAAAGCGUGGGGAGCAAACAGGA
rnacentral:rRNA from 1 species